UGGAAGACUGGUGAUAUGUUGUGGAGACCUCGCAGAACAGCGUAUCCCAGUUUGCCCUA
rnacentral:pre_miRNA from 1 species